AUGGCGGGGCGCCGAGCGAUGAGGCCGGCCGCGUCCACGGGAGGCGGCAUGCGGGGGCUCGCCGCCGCGGCGCGCUCCUCGCCCGCGCUCUCCUUCCUGCUCGCCGCGGCCGCGGCCGCCGCGCUCGUCGGGGGCGCCUACUUCUGGGUGGUGGUCGCCUCGUUCCGCCUCCCCGAGCCCGGGGCCCUCGGGUGCCGGCCCGACGGCGAGGGCUCCUGGGCCAUCGGGGUCUUCUACGGCAGCAGCCCCUUCCACCUCCGCCCCAUCGAGCUGGAAGGGAAGAGCAGCGCCAACGGCUCCGCGUGGCCGGUGGCCAACCCCGUCCUCACCUGCGCCUCCGCCACCGACGCCGGCUACCCCAGCAACUUCGUCGCCGACCCCUUCCUCUACCUGCAGGGCGACACACUGUUUCUUUUCUUUGAAACAAAAACAACUUCCUCAAUGCAUGGUGAUAUUGGUGUUGCAAGAAGCUUCGAUCAAGGUGCAACAUGGGAGUUUCUUGGUAUUGCUCUAGAUGAGGCAUGGCACCUGUCCUACCCUUUUGUGUUCAAAUACGAGAAUGAGAUUUAUAUGAUGCCAGAGGGGAACAAAAAGAAGGAGCUUCGACUUUAUCGUGCUACUAAAUUUCCGCUUGAGUGGACAUUGGAGAAGGUGCUCAUCAACAAACCACUUAUUGACGCCUCAUUAGUCCAAUAUGAGGAUAACUGGUGGCUCUUUGCCUCGGAUUUUACACGGUAUGGAACUGAGAAGAAUGCAGAGCUUGAGAUUUGGUACAGUAGCUCUCCUCUUGGUCCUUGGAAAGAGCACAGGCAGAACCCUAUUUACAAAGCUGACAAAAGUUUGGGAGCUCGAAAUGGUGGAAGGCUCUUCAUGUUUGAAGGGUCGUUGUAUCGUCCAGGUCAGGAUUGCAGUGGAACCUAUGGGCGGAAGAUUAAGUUGUACAAAGUUGAAAAGCUAAGCAAGGAAGAAUACAAAGAGGUGCCAGUAGAACUUGGGAUUGAAGAGCCAAAGAAGGGGAGAAAUGCCUGGAAUGGUAUGAGGUACCAUCACUUGGACGCGCAGCAACUUGAGUCAGGUAGAUGGAUAGCUGUAAUGGAUGGUGAUCGUGUUCCUUCAGGCGAUUCAACACGAAGGUCUAUCUCUGGUUACCUGGGUUUUUUGCUAGCCAUAGUUCUGGUCACUUUUGUGGGUUUUGUGAAAGGUGCAAUCAAUUGCUACAUCCCUCCGAGUUUCUGGGCUGCCCCGGCAAGGAGAAAUGAAUUGUCCCGUAUCUUGCCUGUCUACCGCUUCAACCAGAAAGUCCGCAGAUAUUCUACCAGCCUUGGCAGAUACAUCACAGCCACCAAAGCAAGGCUCAAUGAGAAAACAUGGUCCAACAAGCUGUUCUUCUGCGUCAUUGCUCUGUUGGGGACCGUGAACGUCUGCAUCGCUGUGCAUUUCCUACUUGGUGGUAAUGGCACGGAAGAGGCAUACACACAUCAAGGUCAGCGCUCUCAGUUCACGAUGGUCACCAUGACAUAUGAAGCUCGGCUAUGGAACUUGAAAAUGUUCGUCGAACACUACUCCAGAUGCGAGUCGGUCAGGGAGAUAGUUGUCGUCUGGAACAAAGGCAACCCUCCUGGCAGCGAUGCCUUCGACUCCACGGUGCCUGUCAGGAUACGAGUGGAGGAGCUCAACUCUCUCAACAACAGGUUCAGAGUCGACCCUCUGAUAAAGACCCGGGCCGUCCUCGAGCUGGAUGAUGACAUCAUGAUGACCUGCAGCGACGUAGAGAAAGGGUUCAAGGUGUGGAGGGAGCACCCCGAGCGGAUGGUCGGCUUCUACCCGCGGAUGAUCGACGGCGACCCCCCGCAGUACAGGAACGAGCGGUACGCCAGGGGCAAGAAGGGCUACAACCUGAUCCUCACCGGUGCCGCAUUCAUGGACAGUGAGUUUGCCUUCAGGAGGUACUGGAGCGAGGAGGCCAGGGAAGGGAGGGACUACGUGCACAAGAACUUCAACUGCGAGGACCUGCUGAUGAACUUCAUGUACGCGAACGCGAGCUCCGGCGCCGGGGGGAGGACGGUGGAGUACGUGCACCCGGCAUGGGCCAUCGACACCUCCAAGCUCUCCUCCGUCGCCAUCAGCCGCGACACGCAGAAGCACUACGACGUCAGGACCAAGUGCCUGGCCAAGUUCUCCUCCAUAUAUGGCCCUCUGCCACAGAAAUGGGAGUUUGGCAGGCGAGAAGAUGGCUGGGACAAAUAG
rnacentral:rRNA from 1 species